rnacentral:lncRNA from 10 species
CACAUUAAAUAAUAUUUUAAUGCAAUGUUUUAAACAAUCAAAAUUAAUGUAAAAAUCUACAAUGAACAAGAGAUCAAAAUUUUAAAUAUUAUUACUUAUUUUUCUUUUUGCCUCAGGUUCCAAUAUGGCAAAGUACUUUUAGUGAUUCUGUCUUUAUUUAAAGUUUUGACAUUUUAUUCAUUGUGCAUUUUGUGUGAGGCAAAUGCCUUGCGCAUCUCACCUUAGUCCUGACCCUGCCAACAAGUACCAGGGUAAAACAUACUAGAUGAAAAAUGUGACCUUGAUAGUAAUACUCAUGAAGAACAAAAACUGGCUUAGAAAAUUUUCUGUAAUUGGAAUGUAAAAUUUGAAAUAAAUUACUUAGUAUGAAAUAAAACCUGUGAAAGUAUGACAACUUAUUAAGACCUAAAAAUUUUUAAAUUAUAAACUAUCUUCUUGAACUUCUAUUUUCAGUAAUGGAAGGUUAGGUUAUUUGGACCUUGGCAUUAUUGAUAUUUGGGGCUAUGUAAUUUGUUUGUUGUUGGGGGUGGCAUCAAUAGAGAUGAGCUGCAAGUUGUUGUUCCAUAGUUGACAUAGGCUUCCUGAUCUAGCCAAUUCUAUUGCCAAAGCUCCCCAGUGAAUGGCAGCUUACAUCGAUCCGCUCCCUGCGGGGCCGCGCUUAGGGUCGGAGUUCGCUAGUCCAGGGAAAGGGGUGGGAGGGGCCCUCGGAGGGGCCCCUACAAGGGAUCCCAGUCCGCAGAAUUAAAAAUUCGUUCGCAAGGGAGCGCCCUUCCGGGGUCAGGGUCGUGAAGAGACACUCGAGAAUUAGGGUCCUGGACUGCAGUGGGGCCGGGCCUGGACUUCGGGCAGGUGUUUCCUGGCCGCCCUGGGGCCCUGCAGCACCGAGGGCCGCGCUGAUCUCAGGGCUCAGGCGGACGAGGGGCCGCCACAGGCACCUUAGGACCCUGGCGGCCUGAAGGCCUGGGGCCUUCAGGAAAGCCUCGGGCACUCCCAGCGGGGGACCUAGCGCCAGGUCACGAUUCCAUUCGGGGCGGGGAGCUUCUAAGCAGGAGUUGCUGACCAAGGAAAGAGUCUGGACCCGGGACCUCAUCCCUGAGGACCAGACCACGACCUUGGAGCUCAGCUCUCAGUCCUUCCCGGCUAGGGAUGCGGAGGGGUCGGGAGCUCGACGGCUAAGCGGCAGGGAAUCCUGAGUUCCUAGAGAUCUACAGAAAGCAGAAGAACGACACUAGAUGAGACUAGACAGUGACGGCGGAAGGACGGAACCACAUGGAGACUGACACACUUUGCGAGUUGGGACUCAAUUGCAUUUCUUUAAGUCCUUGAUUCCGAAGUUUCCCCGCCCUCCUAUGCAAGAGCGUUUGGGGAAACUAAGUUCCUUAGACUCUUUCAUCCUUGUUAUGUGAGCUCAGGGAGGAAGGCAGACAAUAGCUGCAGCCUAAACACCUGCUAUCUCUCAAUGCAAUAAGAUAUAGACGGUGAUUGGAGUCGUUUCUCUUUUUGCUUCCAGAGGGAGCUCAAACCUGAAGCAUCAAGGUUAUCUUUUUCCAAAG